rnacentral:rRNA from 1 species
GACGGAAGGUGCAAGCGUUGCUCGGAAUCACUGGGCGUAAAGGGUGCGUAGGCGGCCGUGCAAGUCUGGCGUGAAAGCCCCGGCUCAGCCCGGGAAGUGCGCUCGAAACUGCGCGGCUCGAGUGCCGGAGGGGAGAGUGGAAUUCCUGGUGUAGCGGUGGAAUGCGCAGAUAUCAGGAGGAACACCAAUAGCGAAGGCAGCUCGCUGGGACGGUACUGACACUAAGGCGCGAAAGCGUGGGAGCGAACGAGG